GAUGAACGCUGACAGAAUGCUUAACACAUGCAAGUCGAUGGGGAAGUGGUGCUUGCACCCUGGCAACCAUGGCGGACGGGUGAGUAACGCGUAAGGGACUUACCUGCAGGACUGGGAUAACAGGGGGAAACUCCUGACAAGACCGGAUAAUGUCAUGGAGCUGCAUGGCUUUAUGAUGAAAGGAGACGCCUGCGGAGAGCCUUGCGUCCUAUUAGCUAGUUGGUGAGGUAAUGGCUCACCAAGGCGAAGAUAGGUAGCCGGCCUGAGAGGGUGGACGGCCACAAGGGGACUGAGAUACGGCCCUUACUCCUACGGGAGGCAGCAGUGGGGAAUAUUGGACAAUGGGGGCAACCCUGAUCCAGCAAUUCUGUGUGCACGAAGAAGGUUUUCGGAUUGUAAAGUGCUUUCAGCAGGGAAGAAGUAAGUGACGGUACCUGCAGAAGAAGCGGCGGCUAAAUACGUG
rnacentral:rRNA from 1 species